UACGUAGGCGGGAAAUUAAGUCAGUAGUGAAAUCCCACAGCUUAACUGUGGAACUGUUAUUGAUACUGGUUUUCUUGAAUAUAGUUGAGGUAGGCGGAAUGUGUAAUGUAGCGGUGAAAUGCUUAGAUAUUACACAGAACACCGAUUGCGAAGGCAGCUUACUAAACUAUGAUUGACGCUGAGGUACGAAAGCGUGGGGAGCGAACAGGAUUAGAUACCCUGGUAGUCC
rnacentral:rRNA from 1 species